rnacentral:tRNA from 1 species
UCCCUGGUGGUCCAGUGGCUAAGACUCCACGCUCCCAGUGCUGGGUGCCCAGGUUCAAUCCCUGGUCAGGGAA